rnacentral:rRNA from 1 species
UACGAAGGGGGCUAGCGUUGCUCGGAAUCACUGGGCGUAAAGGGUGCGUAGGCGGGUCUUUAAGUCAGGGGUGAAAUCCUGGAGCUCAACUCCAGAACUGCCUUUGAUACUGAAGAUCUUGAGUUCGGGAGAGGUGAGUGGAACUGCGAGUGUAGAGGUGAAAAUUCGUAGAUAUUCGCAAGAACACCAGUGGCGAAGGCGGCUCACUGG